rnacentral:rRNA from 1 species
UGGGGAAUAUUCCACAAUGCGCGAAAGCGUGAUGGAGCAAUGCCGCGUGAAGGAUGAAGCAUCUAGGUGUGUAAACUUCUGUCAGGGUUUAAGAAUCCAUGACCAGACCCAAAGGAAGAGCCGGCUAACUCUGUGCCAGCAGCCGCGGUAAUACAGAGGGCUCGAGCGUUAAUCGGAAUCACUGGGCUUAAAGGGUGCGUAGGCGGACGGGUAAGUAUCUUGUGAAAUCCCAGGGCUCAACCCUGGAAUUGCUUGGUAGACUGCCCGUCUUGAGCCCGACAGGGGUCGUCAGAACGCUAGGUGGAGCGGUGAAAUGCGUAGAUAUCUAGCGGAAUGCCAAAGGUGAAGACAGACGACUGGGUCGGCGCUGACGCUGAGGCACGAAAGCGUGGGUAGCGAACGGGAUUAGAUACCCGUGUAGUCC